GACGAACGCUGGCGGCGUGCUUAACACAUGCAAGUCGAACGGAAAGGCCCUGCUUUUGUGGGGUGCUCGAGUGGCGAACGGGUGAGUAACACGUGAGUAACCUGCCCUUGGCUUUGGGAUAACUUCAGGAAACUGGGGCUAAUACCGGAUAGGAGCUCCUGCUGCAUGGUGGGGGUUGGAAAGUUUCGGCGGUUGGGGCUGGACUCGCGGCUUAUCAGCUUGUUGGUGGGGUAGUGGCUUACCAAGGCUUUGACGGGUAGCCGGCCUGAGAGGGUGACCGGCCACAUUGGGCCUGAGAUACGGCCCAGACUCCUACGGGAGGCAGCAGUGGGGAAUAUUGCACAAUGGGCGGAAGCCUGAUGCAGCAACGCCGCGUGCGGGAUGACGGCCUUCGGGUUGUAAACCGCUUUCGCCUGUGACGAAGCGUGAGUGACGGUAAUGGGUAAAGAAGCACCGGCUAACUACGUG
rnacentral:rRNA from 1 species